UUGAGGAAUAUUGGUCAAUGGGCGAGAGCCUGAACCAGCCAAGUCGCGUGAAGGAAGAAGGAUCUAUGGUUCGUAAACUUCUUUUGCAGGGGAAUAAAGUGCGGGACGUGUCCUGUUUUGUAUGUACCCUGAGAAUAAGGAUCGGCUAACUCCGUGCCAGCAGCCGCGGUAAUACGGAGGAUCCGAGCGUUAUCCGGAUUUAUUGGGUUGAAAGGGUGCGUAGGUUGUUUGAUAAGACAGCGGUGAAAGUUUGCAGCUUAACUGUAAAAAUGCCGUUGAAACUGUCGGACUUGAGUGUAAAUGAGGUAAGCGGAAUGCGUGGUGUAGCGGUGAAAUGCAUAGAUAUCACGCAGAACUCCGAUUGCGAAGGCAGCUUACUAAGCUACAACUGACACUGAAGCACGAAAGCGUGGGGAUCAAACAGGAUUAGAAACCCCAGUAGUCC
rnacentral:rRNA from 1 species